CAACUUUGCUUGUCUUGACAAUCUCUCUCACCUUUGUAUCUCAAUCAACCGCUAACUACUUCUACUCUUCUCCUCCACCUCCGGUUAAACACUACCAAUACAAAUCUCCACCUCCUCCUGUUAAGCAUUACUCUCCCCCUCCAGUUUACCAUUCUCCACCACCACCUAAAAAACACUACGAAUACAAAUCCCCUCCUCCUCCGGUCAAGCAUUAUUCUCCACCACCGGUUUAUCACUCUCCACCACCACCAAAAAAGCACUACGAGUACAAAUCCCCUCCUCCUCCGGUUAAGCACUACUCUCCACCACCGGUUUACCAUUCUCCACCACCACCAAAGAAGCACUAUGUGUACAAAUCCCCUCCUCCUCCGGUUAAACACUAUUCUCCUCCUCCUGUUUACCAUUCUCCACCACCACCCAAGAAGCACUAUGUGUACAAAUCUCCACCCCCACCUGUUAUGCACUACUCUCCCCCACCAGUCUACCAUUCACCACCACCACCCAAAAAACAUUACGUAUACAAAUCUCCUCCUCCUCCGGUUAAACACUACUCACCACCUCCAGUUUACCAUUCCCCACCCCCACCUAAAAAGCAUUAUGUCUACAAAUCUCCUCCACCACCGGUUAAACACUACUCUCCUCCCCCGGUUUACCACUCUCCACCACCACCAAAGAAACACUACGUGUACAAAUCACCUCCUCCUCCAGUUAAGCACUAUUCUCCACCUCCAGUUUACCACUCUCCACCACCACCAAAGAAACACUACGUGUACAAAUCCCCUCCUCCCCCGGUUAAGCACUACUCCCCUCCUCCAGUUUACCAUUCCCCACCCCCACCAAAGAAACACUACGUCUACAAAUCUCCUCCUCCUCCAGUGAAACACUACUCUCCCCCUCCGGUUUACCAUUCCCCACCACCACCAAAGAAACAUUACGUGUACAAAUCCCCUCCUCCUCCAGUUAAACACUAUUCCCCACCACCGGUUUACCAUUCUCCACCACCACCAAAGAAGCACUACGUCUACAAAUCCCCUCCUCCUCCGGUUAAGCACUACUCUCCUCCUCCGGUUUAUCAUUCCCCACCACCACCUAAGAAAAAGUACGUAUAUAAGUCACCUCCUCCUCCAGUCCACCACUACUCUCCCCCACACCAUCCUUACCUCUACAAAUCUCCUCCUCCUCCAUACCACUAUUAGAAUUCUCUGUCACGGUA
rnacentral:lncRNA from 1 species